AGGCCAUGACCAGCAGGCCUGUCAUAAGGGUAAGGGGAAGCGGUGGCAUAUGAUGCAUGGGAGGGGGAGAUGGUGGCGUAUGAUGCGUGGGAGGGGGAGGUGGUGGCGUAUGAUGCGUGGGAGGGGGAGGCGGUGGCGUAUGAUGCGUGGGAAGGGGAAGCAGUGGCAUAUGAGGUGUGGGAAGGGGAAGUGGUGGCGUAUGAGGUGUGGGAAGGAGAGCGGGCAAAUGUGGUGGGAGCUGGGAAAGAAGACACAGAUGCAUUGUUAGUUAGACGACCUGCCUUGGCAGGAGGCAUUGGG
rnacentral:lncRNA from 1 species